rnacentral:rRNA from 1 species
GUAAAGCGAGCGCASGCGGUUUCUUAAGUCUGAUGUGAAAGCCCACGGCUCAACCGUGGAGGGUCAUUGGAAACUGGGGAACUUGAGUCCAGAAGAGGAUAGUGGAAUUCCAAGUGUAGCGGUGAAAUGCGUAGAUAUAUGGAGGAACACCAGUGGCGAAGGCGACUCUCUGGUCUGUAACUGACGCUGAGGCUCGAAAGCGUGGGGAGCAAACAGGAUUAGAUNMCCUGGUAGUCCACGCCGUAAACGAUGAGUGCUAAGUGUUGGAGGGUUUCCGCCCUUCAGUGCUGCAGUAAACGCAUUAAGCACUCCGCCUGGGGAGUACGGCCGCAAGGCUGAAACUCAAAGGAAUUGACGGGGGCCCGCACAAGCGGUGGAGCAUGUGGUUUAAUUCGAAGCAACGCGAAGCCCUUACCAGGUCUUGACAUCCUUUGACCAC